UGCAGUCGACGAGGUCCAUCCAGUGGCAACACUGGUGAAGAUCUAGUGGCGAACGGGUGCGUAACACGUGAGGAACCUACCCCGAUCUCAGGAAUAACAGUGGGAAACCACUGCUAAUACCGGAUACCUUCCCCGAGUCGCAUGGCUCGGCGAAGAAAGGGUUACCGGAUCGGGACGGCCUCGCGGCCUAUCAGCUUGUUGGCGGGGUAAUGGCCCACCAAGGCGUCGACGGGUAGCUGGUCUGAGAGGAUGAUCAGCCACACUGGGACUGAGACACGGCCCAGACUCCUACGGGAGGCAGCAGUGGGGAAUCUUGCGCAAUGGGCGAAAGCCUGACGCAGCAACGCCGCGUGGGGGAUGAAUGCCCUCGGGUUGUAAACCCCUUUCAGCAGGAACGAAUCUGACGGUACCUGCAGAAGAAGGCCCGGCCAACUACGUGCCAGCAGCCGCGGUAAUACGUAGGGGCCAAGCGUUGUCCGGAUUUAUUGGGCGUAAAGAGCUCGUAGGCGGUUGGGUAAGUCGGGU
rnacentral:rRNA from 1 species